CGGACAGUGUCUGGUGGGUAGUUUGACUGGGGCGGUCUCCUCCUAAAGAGUAACGGAGGAGCACGAAGGUUGGCUAAUCCUGGUCGGACAUCAGGAGGUUAGUGCAAUGGCAUAAGCCAGCUUGACUGCGAGCGUGACGGCGCGAGCAGGUGCGAAAGCAGGUCAUAGUGAUCCGGUGGUUCUGAAUGGAAGGGCCAUCGCUCAACGGAUAAAAGGUACUCCGGGGAUAACAGGCUGAUACCGCCCAAGAGUUCAUAUCGACGGCGGUGUUUGGCACCUCGAUGUCGGCUCAUCACAUCCUGGGGCUGAAGUAGGUCCCAAGGGUAUGGCUGUUCGCCAUUUAAAGUGGUACGCGAGCUGGGUUUAGAACGUCGUGAGACAGUUCGGUCCCUAUCUGCCGUGGGCGCUGGAGAACUGAGGGGGGCUGCUCCUAGUACGAGAGGACCGGAGUGGACGCAUCACUGGUGUUCGGGUUGUCAUGCCAAUGGCACUGCCCGGUAGCUAAAUGCGGAAGAGA
rnacentral:rRNA from 3 species